rnacentral:lncRNA from 1 species
UUUAUUUUGCAACAUCCCAGAGAGCAAGAUUUUCGUCAACUGACUACAGUUCCAUUACUUCAAGAAUGUAUUCCAAAAGAUAAAUGCAAAGUCUACAGAGGAAAGCGAUUUCCUGCACACAAAUUUCCUGAGGUUCAUGAUGUUCUUGACAGACCUAACACAAUUCUAUUAUUUCCUUCUAAAGAUGAAAAAGCAACAUUUGCAAA